rnacentral:rRNA from 1 species
GACGAACGCUGGCGGCGUGCCUAAUACAUGCAAGUAGAACGCACAGUUUAUACCGUAGCUUGCUACACCAUAAACUGUGAGUUGCGAACGGGUGAGUAACGCGUAGGUAACCUGCCUGGUAGCGGGGGAUAACUAUUGGAAACGAUAGCUAAUACCGCAUAAUAUUGAUUAUUGCAUGAUAAUUGAUUGAAAGAUGCUAUUGCAUCACUACCAGAUGGACCUGCGUUGUAUUAGCUAGUAGGUGAGGUAACGGCUCACCUAGGCGACGAUACAUAGCCGACCUGGGAGGGUGAUCGGCCACACUGGGACUGAGACACGGCCCAGACUCCUACGGGAGGCAGCAGUAGGGAAUCUUCGGCAAUGGACGAAAGUCUGACCGAGCAACGCCGCGUGAGUGAAGAAGGGUUUCGGAUCGUAAAGCUCUGUUGUAAGAGAAGAACGGGUGUGAGAGUGGAAAGUUCACACUGUGACGGUAGCUUACCAGAAAGGGACGGCUAACUACGUG